rnacentral:rRNA from 1 species
CCUACGGGGGGCUGCAGUGGGGAAUAUUGGACAAUGGGGGGAACCCUGAUCCAGCCAUGCCGCGUGUGUGAAGAAGGCCCUCGGGUUGUAAAGCACUUUCAGUGAGGAAGAACGCCUGGUGGUUAAUACCCAUCAGGAAAGACAUCACUCACAGAAGAAGCACCGGCUAACUCCGUGCCAGCAGCCGCGGUAAUACGGAGGGUGCGAGCGUUAAUCGGAAUUACUGGGCGUAAAGCGCGCGUAGGUGGCUUGAUAAGCCGGCUGUGAAAGCCCCGGGCUCAACCUGGGAACGGCAUCCGGAACUGUCAAGCUAGAGUGCAGGAGAGGAAGGUAGAAUUCCCGGUGUAGCGGUGAAAUGCGUAGAGAUCGGGAGGAAUACCAGUGGCGAAGGCGGCCUUCUGGACUGACACUGACACUGAGGUGCGAAAGCGUGGGUAGCAAACAGGAUUAGAUACCCCUGUAGUC